UCCCAUUUCUAUGAAGGAGGAUGCCAUA
rnacentral:sRNA from 1 species